AAGGCGUUCAAUAGGUGUCUCCAGGGCUCCUCCAAGUCAGGCUCUACAGCUGGGAGACCAGAGUGGCCAUGGAAGGCAUCACUGAGGAGGGAACAUUGAGAUGAUGGCUGAAUAGCCAUCCACGCAGAAAGCUGGGAGAAGAACCUUCUGGACAGGGAGAACAGGAAUUGCAAAGGCCCAAGGUAACCAAGUUCAAUAAAAGGCUACUUUUCCAUCUCCAGUCUUCCGUCCACACCUGAACACACCAUCGUCAACCAGGCCAUCGAGGCCACAAGUUACACACCAUGACCUCAUCACACACUUGAUUUGUUGACUCGGAGCAAGUUACCAGCAAUGAAUUAUCAACCCCUUUCCCAGAAUGGCAAGCCCUGGGGCUAUGUGCAAACUGAGGCGGGAAAAUAAGAGGUGUCAAUAGAGCUGAGUUUGCUCUGGGCCCAGGGCCAUGUAGAUAAGCUGGUUAUCAUCACCAGCUCCAGCUCCAAGAGGCACAGUGGGUGCCACUGCCACCACCAGGAACCCUGGGGUUUGCUUGUCCUCCUGCUGGAACGCCCAGCACACCCACAGGGCCAAGAGGAAAGUAAACGCUCUUGACUAAUCUCCCCCAGUGCUAUCACAGGGGCCCCCCGAAGGUGGCUGCUCCUUUGGCAGAGUCUGGUUCUUCCAUUCCUUCUUGGAAGAUGGCCAUGGGGCAUCAGCACCUGACCAUGAUGUCUGGUGGCUAGAAUUCAACUUGAAAUCAGUUGAGACCCAAGUAAUGCCCAGGCUUUCCCGGUGGGUUUUCCUUGCUCCAUUCUUUGUCUCCAUACAGUGAAGCCCCCAGAAAGCAUCAGUUGUUCAUCCCUCAUCAGGGCCUUCAAAGUUCCAAGGUCUUUCUUGAGCCUCAGAGAGGCAACAAGUCCUUGAAUGCACCCUUGUCUGACCCUCCCAACUCAGCCAAGAAUCCCCUAAAGAUGAAAUAGAACAUUGGGUUUCAAUUGUCGAAGUCUGACCAGAAGAUGUUCCUUACUCUAAAUACAGGCCAGUGUCACACCAACUUACAAGGGUCAGUGUGUUAUGAACAAGGAGGGGAAGCUGUGGGGCUGCCAAGCUGGGCACAAGUCAAGCACUAACCGGCACCACUGCCUCCUGCUUCCUGGUGCCACUCCAGCCGGGGCUGCCCCCACUGUGUCUGGCAGCUUCCAAUAUUGCUUUCCUGCUGCCAUAAGAUGGCAGGUCUGGCAACAGAACUGGAGCCGGACUUAAGGAGAAAGAGGAAGGAACUUCAGCUCUGGCACCUGCAGACCCCCGAAAGUGACCUACGGAAGCUGGCAGCAGGGACUGCAAUUGAGCAUUCUCUCACCUUUCCCUUCUCAGAGCUCCCCAAGCCUAUGCCCAGGUGGGAAGAGGAUUACCUGAGAGCCAGAAGCCCCGGGUCCCAGCACUUCACUAACCUACCUUGCAUCCCUUCUGUAAAUUAUACACCCCAGCUCUCAGUUUCCCCAUCUCCGGGAUAACAGACUGGACUUGUCCAAGAAUAGCAAUCAUUCCCAAUCCAGUGCCGACGCUGGUUGCUAGAACACGUGGCUGAAGGGAUUGUAUGUUGCUCGGGAUUCUGGGGCCACAUCCAGUGGUAGGGGGUGCUGUGGUUCGCUGGCAAUAUCUGCCUUGGACUCAGAAUGGAGCAUGGUAGACCAGGUGCCACGUCACUGACAUGCAGGAGCUAAAGGACCUUUGCACUCCUGCCCAAUGGAACAUUCCAGCACUUGGAUUCUGUGGGAUGAGAUCUGACAGCCAUAAGGCAGAAGUUACCAACUGGGAAGCUCAUGGAUUCUUCAACAGAAACUCGAGUCAGGCUGAUGAAUUACCUUUACUAAAGGAAUGAAUAACAAUAAAAAAAAUUCUAGGUCCAAGACGUGCCAAGAAAGGUUAGAUAUAUUGGACAAUAUUUUAAAAGGAGAGAUGUUUUGGGUGACCUGCUAUUUUGCUGUCCAGCUUGAGAUGAUGCCAAUGGCCACAGAGUAAUAAAAGGGCCACUGAAUAUGGCCUCGUUCCCAUGGCUCACCAGCAGUAAGCAUCUCUACCACCUCCAUGUCUGGAGCAGGAAUUCCAGCAGGAAGGACGCAGCCUCCAGAACCAUUUGACCAGAAGAUCCAAGUGCGACUGGACUGCUGACAAAAUGUUUCCAGCCUGGAUCCUAUCAGGGGAAUUACAGCGGGUGCUCAUCAAGUGGGAGUUCUCAUGACUGAGGUAUGGGUCUUACUUCUCUCACUCAGAUGUAAACCCACUGAGGACAAAACUCAUGGCUGAUUCAUCUCUAUCAAGCCUACUGCCUGGCAUGUGGAAUGUAUGAAUGAGUGAAUGAACGAGAAGAUGAACAAGGCAAAGCGCUCAUAAGCAUGGCCAGUUUGGCCAGGGAGUAGGCUGUAAGAAGACGUCAGAGCCUUCUGCUUGAAUCUGCUGCCUUGCCGCCCACCCCAGGCUAAGGCACGAAGACCCUCAAAGCUGCUGCUGCAGGUCCUUUGGAGGAGCAGGCAGCUGGGCUCCCUGGCUCUCCCAUCUGGAGCAGGAGGCCCAGGACAGGUGCUUUAAAUACCCUCUGGCCACACCCCCAGCCUACUGCCCCUGGCACCAAUGGUGGCAGAGUCACAGGUCAGAAACCAGGAUUCAGGUCACCCCUUAGAAGGAACAGGGCGUAGAUGGGGACAGAUUGGAUCAGAAAAGGCUGAGGAGGCCAGGUCCAGAGCUGUGCACACCUGGGAGUAACGUGGUAUUUGAGAUACCGAGGACAAAAGAGCUGCGGCUGUCGGGGGCAGGACGCACUAUCAGGGGACCUUAACCUCUGUCCCCAAGAGGGGUUCACACCCCAGGCCACCAGUUUCAGUGGGUUUACACUGGGGCUCUGGGCAGGCGCAGCUCAAGGCAGGUGCUCUGAGGGAGAGCAGGGCUGUGAGGGGCUGGGGAGGCUGGCCCAGAAUCUCCCCAUGCCCGCCUGGAGACUGCAGGCCAACUUCCUGGUCAUGCCCCAGUUCCCAGGAAUUUUCCAGCUCCUGCUUAAUAGCUCCAUCCUCCCUCCAUCUGCCCCCAGCCCACUCCCAGUUUCCAAACAUUUUCUUUUUUGCUUCCAGUUAACCCUUGCUCUGCCCAGUACCGAAUUUCUGUCACUGCCUCCUCCAAGACCUUCUCUUGUAUUUUGCCCAAAGCAGGUGUCAGAACCCUUUCUGGGGGCCGAGCAGCUUGGUGUUGGGAGGCUGUGGUUGAGAUUCCCGGCUCUCUUACUCCCUUCCCAGGGCUUGGGCAAAUUCUUGCCCCCAGUGCCUCCUCUCUGCUUCCUGACUCUCCCUUGAGAGCUUGGACCAUAGACCCCAGCACCCUUCCUGCUCAAGGACACACUCCACUCUGAGUAUACACCCAACAGAAACACAUACAUAUGUUCUCUAAAAGAUGUGUAUUAGAAGCCGGGCACAGUGGCUCACGCCUGUAAUCCCAGGACCUUGGGAGGCCAAGGCAGGUGGAUCACUUGAGCCCAGGAGUUUGAGACCAGCCUGGGCAACACAGGGAGACCCCGUCUACACAAAAAUAAAAAAAA